rnacentral:tRNA from 1 species
GGGAAAGUGGCUCAGUGGUAGAGUGCUUGCCUUGCAUGCAUGAGGCCUGAGUUCGAUUCCUCAGCACCA